rnacentral:rRNA from 1 species
UGGGGGAUAUUGCACAAUGGGGGAAACCCUGAUGCAGCGACGCCGCGUGAGUGAAGAAGUAUUUCGGUAUGUAAAGCUCUAUCAGCAGGGACGAAAAUGACGGUACCUGAGUAAGAAGCCCCGGCUAACUACGUGCC